rnacentral:rRNA from 1 species
UACAGAGGUCCCAAGCGUUGUUCGGAAUUACUGGGCGUAAAGGGUGCGCAGGCGGCUCCGCAUGUCAGGCGUGAAAUCCCCGGGCUUAACCUGGGAAUGGCGCUUGAAACUACGGGGCUCGAGUAUGGCAGAGGGAGGUGGAAUUCCACGUGUAGCGGUGAAAUGCGUAGAGAUGUGGAGGAACACCGAUGGCGAAGGCAGCCUCCUGGGCCAAUACUGACGCUCAUGCACGAAAGCGUGGGGAGCAAACAGG